rnacentral:rRNA from 1 species
GACGAACGCUGGCGGCGUGCCUAAUACAUGCAAGUCGAGCGAGCUUGCCUAGAUGAUUUUAGUGCUUGCACUAAAUGAAACUAGAUACAAGCGAGCGGCGGACGGGUGAGUAACACGUGGGUAACCUGCCCAAGAGACUGGGAUAACACCUGGAAACAGAUGCUAAUACCGGAUAACAACACUAGACGCAUGUCUAGAGUUUGAAAGAUGGUUCUGCUAUCACUCUUGGAUGGACCUGCGGUGCAUUAGCUAGUUGGUAAGGUAACGGCUUACCAAGGCAAUGAUGCAUAGCCGAGUUGAGAGACUGAUCGGCCACAUUGGGACUGAGACACGGCCCAAACUCCUACGGGAGGCAGCAGUAGGGAAUCUUCCACAAUGGACGAAAGUCUGAUGGAGCAACGCCGCGUGAGUGAAGAAGGGUUUCGGCUCGUAAAGCUCUGUUGGUGGUGAAGAAAGAUAGAGGUAGUAACUGGCCUUUAUUUGACGGUAAUUACUUAGAAAGUCACGGCUAACUACGUG